GACGUAGGGUGCGAGCGUUGUCCGGAUUUAUUGGGCGUAAAGAGCUCGUAGGCGGCUCGUCGCGUCGACCGUGAAAACCCGCGGCUUAACUGCGGGCUUGCGGUUGAUACGGGCGGGCUAGAGUUCGGUAGGGGAGACUGGAAUUCCUGGUGUAGCGGUGAAAUGCGCAGAUAUCAGGAGGAACACCGGUGGCGAAGGCGGCCUUCUGGACGGAUACUGACGCUGAGGCGCGAAAGCCAGGGGAGCAAACGGG
rnacentral:rRNA from 1 species